UCCUCCAGACAGUCAAUGGGCAUAAAGUUGUUAUUGUGAUGUAGAGACAGAGCUCAGUUAAAACUUUAUGGAUGAAAGAUACAUUUGUUACAAAUUAAUAACUCACCAAUCUGAAACUCUUGCUCCAGUCCAUGUUGCUAAGCUGGUAAGGGGAUAUACAGCUGAACAGAAGCCCUGUGUACCGGCUUCUCACAACCCGCCCUUCUCGGCUUCUGAUCUUCUAGUGGAGUGAAGCCUCCAUCACCUGACUGGCUCUCUCCAUUUGGCCAUUGGUUUGAGGAUGGUACUCAAAGGAAAGACUGGCUCCCAGAACUAAACCGUCAGUCAUUGGAGGCGGAAGAUGUAUUCCAGCAGGAGGUAAAGUACAGUGUUUUAGGGCUUUUUCGCAGAAGACAGCUGGUUGCUGUGACUGGAAACAAGAAUGCGGGGAUGUACCAAAACAGAAGAGAUGUGGGCUGGAAAACCAAAACAAUGAGCUGAAAGAAGAAAGAACUGUAGAGUCAGAGGCUGUACAGAGAGAGAUUUGAAACCUGCUGUAGGUCUAUCUACAACAACAAAAAAAAAACAAUUGUGAGCCACGAGUCAGAAGCACUGUACCUUGGUUAUCUAUGCAUCCAUCUAUAAAUUAUACUGGUUUUUCCCUCCUUGGCAGUGAUGGUGACACAGGACUGGUCGUUGCCUGAGGCUAGGAUUGGAUAAGGUACCACCAAAAGAGAAGACCCAUUCUCUGCUUUGAUCUUCUUACGCCCUCGUUCUUCCCUUGGGGGAGGGCCGAGAAGUCCCACGAGGCCCCCAUUGUUUUUGCCAGGCUCCAUCCCGUGGCCACAGGCUAACCCUGAGAUGAGGUGAGGUGUGGGGGCUCCACCCAGCCGGCUGUGGCUGCUUGAGGUGGGUGUAGUGGGGGUGAUGAUCUCUGAGGUGUUGAGGUUACCUGUUCUGGAUGCCAGCGCCACACCUGAUGGGUGAAAAAAGUAAAGACAAGGACAUGAUUGCAAUAAGUUAUCAUCGAGGAGUUACAUUUUUUAAAAGACCCCUUAAAAUACUGCGUCCAAUCUUGCCUUCAAUGUUCUGUGUGGACUGAUUUGAAAUAUUUUAAUGAAAGUCUAUUGCAAUCUGUCUACCUCCUACACAAACAUACAUAUAGCACAGAGAAGUCCACAUUACC